UGGGGAAUAUUGGACAAUGGGCGCAAGCCUGAUCCAGCCAUGCCGCGUGAGUGAUGAAGGCCCUAGGGUUGUAAAGCUCUUUCCACCGGUGAAGAUAAUGACGGUAACCGGAGAAGAAGCCCCGGCUAACUUCGUGCCAGCAGCCGCGGUAAUACGAAGGGGGCCUAGCGUUGUUCGGAUUUACUGGGCGUAAAGCGCACGUAGGCGGACUUUUAAGUCAGGGGGUGAAAUCCCCGGGGGCUCAACCCCGGAACUGCCUUUGAUACUGGAAGUCUUGAGUAUGGUAGAGGUGAGUGGAAUUCCGAGUGUAGAGGUGAAAUUCGUAGAUAUUCGGAGGAACACCAGUGGCGAAGGCGGCUCACUGGACCAUUACUGACGCUGAGGUGCGAAAGCGUGGGGAGCAAACAGGAUUAGAUACCCCUGGUAGUCCACGCCGUAAACGAUGAAUGUUAGCCGUUGGGGAGUUUACUCUUCGGUGGCGCAGCUAACGCAUUAAACAUUCCGCCUGGGGAGUACGGUCGCAAGAUUAAAAGCUC
rnacentral:rRNA from 1 species